rnacentral:misc_RNA from 1 species
AAGUCGUAACAAGGUUUCCGUAGGUGAACCUGCGGAAGGAUCAUUAACACAAAAACAAUCCCAUAUCCACCCCUUUUUAUAACGAACUCUGGUUUAUUACCAUUGUCUCUUCUUUAUCCAACUUUUAUUUUUACCCCAACUCUAUAACCAAAAUGCAAUAGACUGAUAUUUAUUUAUCUUUAUAAUCUUAUAAAUGAUAUUUAAAACAACUCUUAGCAACGGAUAUCUUGGCUCUC